rnacentral:lncRNA from 1 species
CUGAUCUUAUCUUCUUUUAGGAUCUACAAUUUAGUUUUUACUCUUUUGUUGCAUGUUUAGUAGGUAUCCACUCAAACUAGUACAAGGAUGAAGAUACUAUGCAGUAAGGUUUUCCCACCUUAAAAGGGUAAAGCUUUAGUAUUUUUUCUUGGAUGUGACUACGUUAGGAGUAGAAGGAUAACCUCCAUCUGUCUAUCUCGAUAAACCUAUCGUGGGAAAACUUGGAACACUAGCAUCAUUUCCAGGAAAUUUGGAAAAGCAAAGAAUGGUCAUGAUCAUAUCCUGUGACGUUGUUGUAUAGGCCAGUGAGGUAGGCAGGAGGACACAUUAACAUUCUGAUUAGA